ACUUGAGUACAGAAGAGGAGAGUGGAAUUCCAUGUGUAGCGGUGAAAUGCGCAGAGAUAUGGAGGAACACCAGUGGCGAAGGCGGCUCUCUCGUCUGUUACUGACGCUGAGGUGACGAAAGCGGUGGGGAUACAAACAGGAUUAGACUACCCCAGUAGUCCUAGACCGUAAACGAUGGAUACUAGGUGUUGUCUGUAUCCGACCCGGACAGUGCCGUAGACUAACGACGUUAAGUACUCCCGCCUGGGGAGUACGCACGCAAGUGUGAAACUCAAAGGAAUUGACGGUCGACGCGGCC
rnacentral:rRNA from 1 species